rnacentral:rRNA from 1 species
AACGAACGCUGGCGGCGUGCCUAACACAUGCAAGUCGAGCGCGAAAAGGGCAACCUGAGUAGAGCGGCGCACGGGUGCGUAACACGUGGGUAAUCUGCCUUAGAGUCGAGGAUAACCUUCCGAAAGGUUGGCUAAUACUCGGUAAGCUUACGGUGUCUUCGGACGCUGUGGGAAAAGUAGGCCUCUGUUUACAAGCUUACGCUCUGAGAUGAGCCCGCGGCCCAUCAGCCAGUUGGCGGUGUAACGGACCACCAAGGCAACGACGGGUAGCUGGUCUGAGAGGACGAUCAGCCACACUGGAACUGAGACACGGUCCAGACUCCUACGGGAGGCAGCAGUGGGGAAUUUUCCACAAUGGGCGAAAGCCUGAUGGAGCAACGCCGCGUGUGUGAUGAAGGUUUUCGGAUCGUAAAGCACUUUCGACUGGGACGAAAAACCUUUGGCUAACAUCCAAGGGCCUGACGGUACCAGGAGAAGAAGCACCGGCUAACUCUGUGCCAGCAGCCGCAGUAACAC